rnacentral:rRNA from 1 species
AGUGAACGCUGGCGGUAGGCCUAACACAUGCAAGUCGAACGGCAGCACAGUAAGAGCUUGCUCUUACGGGUGGCGAGUGGCGGACGGGUGAGGAAUACAUCGGAAUCUACUUUUUCGUGGGGGAUAACGUAGGGAAACUUACGCUAAUACCGCAUACGACCUACGGGUGAAAGCAGGGGAUCUUCGGACCUUGCGCGAGUGAAUGAGCCGAUGUCGGAUUAGCUAGUUGGCGGGGUAAAGGCCCACCAAGGCGACGAUCCGUAGCUGGUCUGAGAGGAUGAUCAGCCACACUGGAACUGAGACACGGUCCAGACUCCUACGGGAGGCAGCAGUGGGGAAUAUUGGACAAUGGGCGCAAGCCUGAUCCAGCCAUACCGCGUGGGUGAAGAAGGCCUUCGGGUUGUAAAGCCCUUUUGUUGGGAAAGAAAAGCAGCAAGUUAAUACCCCGCUGUUCUGACGGUACCAAAAGAAUAAGCACCGGCUAACUUCGUG